GUUAGGAAUAUUGGACAAUGGGCGCAAGCCUGAUCCAGCCAUGCCGCGUGAGUGAUGAAGGCCUUCGGGUUGUAAAGCUCUUUAGUCCACGAAUAUAAUGACUGUAGUGGAAGAAUAAGCCCCGGCUAACUUCGUGCCAGCAGCCGCGGUAAUACGAAGGGGGCGAGCGUUAUUCGGAAUCACUGGGCGUUAAGCGUGCGUAGGCUGUUUUGUAAGUCAGAAGUGAAAGCCCAGGGCUUAACCCUGGAAUUGCUUUUGAAACUACAAGACUCGAAUUCGGGAGAGGAUAGCGGAAUUGUCAGUGUAGCAGUGAAAUGCGUAGAUAUUGACAGGAACACCAGUGGCGCAAGCGGCUAUCUGGACCGAUAUUGACGCUGAGGCACGAAAGCGUGGGGAGCAAACAGGAUUAGAAACCCCGGUAGUCC
rnacentral:rRNA from 1 species